ensembl:miRNA
GCAGCCAUUCUCGUGUCCUUAUCACUUUUCCAGCCCAGCUUUUUCAUUGUAACUGUUGGACGGAGAACUGAUAAGGGUAUGUGACUGACAUGAA